rnacentral:lncRNA from 1 species
UUUGCUUUCCUAUCUCUAUCCAUUUAUAUACUUAUCCACACUAAUGACCGGAGCAAUCUAGCGAAAAUCACAAAAAGCGACCGUUUUCGCUACCUAGGAUCUAUCUUGCAAGAGAACGGAGAAUUAGAUGGAGAUCUCAACCAUAGAAUACAAGCUGGAUGGAUGAAGUGUAAUAGUGCAUCCGGCGUGUUGUGUGACCGUUGUAGGCCACUAAAGCUCAAGGGAAAAUUUUAUAGGACGGCAAUAAGGCCAACGAUGUUGUAUGGCACAGAAUGUUGGGUGGUGAAGCAUCAACACAUACACAAAAUGGGUGUAGCAGAUAUUAGGAUGCUUCGUGGGAUGUGUCGACACACGAGAAAGGAUAAGAUUGGGAAUAAGGAUAUCCGAGGUAAAGUAUGAGUGAUAGGAGCAUAUUUAUGCGACUUAGUUAGCUUGUUCUUGUGCAUUUAUGUCGUGUUUCCUUAGUUAUUUUAAUGUUUAAAGUCAUUUUCAUGUGUUUUCAGAUUUUAAGGACAAAGUAGGCAAGAAGAUGCAUUUUGGAGCAUUUUGGAGCAAAAUGGAGCUUGGAAUGCAUGUCACAUAUUUGGAACCAAGGUUUGGACGAAAUUGAAGACUUAAAGAGGCUAAGAGUGUGAAGAAUUAGUGUACAAAGGAUCAUGAACUCAGCCACAAAAGAACACACAUCCUUGCCGUGCAAUCCACAUAGCAUUCCUUUUGGAUUCCCAUGCAUGCUUAAUCAUCCUUGUCCCCUAAAAUAUUUCUGAUUUCAUGCCUCAAUACACUCAAUUAUCACACUCAAUUGCUGCAUACCUCUUGUUCCCUUCACCCCUCAGAUUUCACACCCAUUCCAUGCACCAAUUGAUGCUCCAUCAUCCACAUUUGGGAUCCAAUGCCUUGUGCAACACAUGUUGCUGCACCUUUAACUAAUUUCUGAAACAUUUCACCUCCCCUUUUCAUUUCCAUGCAAUGAACACAAUCAUUCAUGCUCCCUAGCUGAAAUACCACUCCAUUUUACCCUCCAUACUUUGCAUCAUUGCUCCAUUUUCAUCCUUGGACCAUUGCACACCACAAAUUCACCCUCCUUGCUGUGCAUUUCCCCACUGCCUAAUCUGAUUCUCUAGGGUUUUUGGGGCCUAUAUAUACAUGUUUACAACCCUUGGCAAAGGGUUCAACCUCCCAUAUUCAUCAUUCAUGCAGAAAAUUCGUCCAUACUCACCUUAGGCAGCAAAACACCCCAAAAACACCAUUCUAGUGCCCAGAAAACAUAACAGCCACUCCACCUUAUUCCACCUUCUUUGCCGAGUUCUCUACCAUCCUUCAACCAUCAAACACUCCUCCAUACUCACCCUAAACCUUUCCAUACCAUUCCCUAUCCAUUCUACACCAUAAAACUACCCAAAACCUGUCCAUAACCUAAUCUGCCGCAAGCAAGGGAAAUGAGGAAUCUUGGAUGCACUUGCUGCCAAGUUGGAGCAUUCUAGGUGUUUUCUUUCUUUGGAUUUUAAUGUCUAAUUCAUGUAAUCUUUGUUUUGCUUUAAGUAUGAUUGGCUAAUUUCGUUUUUGGCUAAGGGUGUAUUCAAAACCAUGAUUAUAUAUGUGAAAUGAGUUGAUUACUUCCAGUUAUUGUUACAUAAGUCGUGAAUACAAUUUGCUUAACCAUUUGAUUUAGAACUUAUUCUUGUAUAUUGAUUGAGAGUGCACGCUUAAUUUGCAUGCUUGAAUUUGAUGCUAGGAUAUAAAUUUGUUUCACCUAAUCGUUAUGAAUUUAUAUUCGUAAGUAGUGAAGGUCGCUAGUCACGAUCGUGUUAAGUAGAUUCCUGGCAAGAGUAUCAUGCUUUUCAUAGUUACGAAUGCCUUGUCAAUGCUUAUGAUUUCCAAAGAACGUAAUGAUUCUAACUUGUGUCUUUAUCAUGCUGUUCAUAUAAAGAACUUGUUAGGAAUAAUUUGUUUGCGAUGCAUAUUCAUCCAAUUCAAUGAUCCUAGGGAAAUCUGAAGGUUAAUUUAAGCGGACCUAAUUAACUUGGAGUGUUGAGGUUCAUAACUUAUCGAAUUGAUAACUGGAAAUUGAUUUACGUUGCAUAUAUUUCAUGUGUGGAGAAGAACCCCUUAGCCAUUCCAUCAUCCAUUGAUUCUUCAUAACUUUGUAUUAUAAUCUGUUUCUCUUACAAUCUGCCAUUUAAGUUUAUUUUCGUCCAAAUCAAAUCCCCAAUUAUUUUGAAUUCCUAGAUUAAUUGGAAAGUGUGUUGGUUUAUGUUUUUAGGUGUUUUAGGUCACUAGGAAACCAAAAUUCGUCCAAGUUGAGUUAGAGUCCCAAAACUGCACAGAAAGUGGUUUUUAGGCAGUUUUGAGUGUUUGGUUGCUAUUUUGAUUCUUUUGGUUCGUUUUAGUAUUUUAACGUGAGUUUUGCAUUCUUUGAGUCUAAUAUAGUGCUUUAAACUUUGUUUUUACAUUUCUAAGUCAGUUUUCAAGUGUUUAGCAAUCCCUCCUAAUCCCCGGUCUAGAACGAUCCCUAUUUACAUACUUUGCUACAAUUGAUAAAAAGAGGGUUUAAUUUUGUGUGUUAACUUAUAUACUUAUCCACACUAAUGACCGGAGCAAUCUAGCGAAAAUCACAAAAAGCGACCGUUUUCGCUACCUAGGAUCUAUCUUGCAAGAGAACGGAGAAUUAGAUGGAGAUCUCAACCAUAGAAUACAAGCUGGAUGGAUGAAGUGUAAGAGUGCAUCCGGCGUGUUGUGUGACCGUCGUAGGCCACUAAAGCUCAAGGGAAAAUUUUAUAGGACGGCAAUAAGGC